CGGUCUGUAGCUCAGGUGGUUAGAGCGCACCCUGAUAAGGGUGAGGUCGGUAGUUCGAGUCUACCCAGACCCA
rnacentral:tRNA from 1 species